rnacentral:rRNA from 1 species
UACGUAGGUGGCAAGCGUUGUCCGGAUUACUGGGCGUAAAGGGCGUGCAGGCGGUUUGUUAAGUGCAGGGUGAAAGCUCCCGGCUCAACUGGGAGAGGUCCUUGCAUACUGGCAAACUCGAGGGAGGCAGAGGAAAGUGGAAUUCCCGGUGUAGUGGUGAUAUGCGUAGAUAUCGGGAGGAACACCUGUGGCGAAGGCGGCUUUCUGGGCCUUACCUG